AGGCCUAACACAUGCAAGUCGAGCGCGCCUUCGGGCGAGCGGCGGACGGGUUAGUAACGCGUGGGAACGUGCCCAGAUCUACGGAAUAGCCACUGGAAACGGUGAGUAAUACCGUAUACGCCCUUUGGGGGAAAGAUUUAUCGGAUUUGGAUCGGCCCGCGUUAGAUUAGGUAGUUGGUGGGGUAACGGCCUACCAAGCCUACGAUCUAUAGCUGGUUUUAGAGGAUGAUCAGCAACACUGGGACUGAGACACGGCCCAGACUCCUACGGGAGGCAGCAGUGGGGAAUCUUGGACAAUGGGGGCAACCCUGAUCCAGCCAUGCCGCGUGAGUGAAGAAGGCCCUAGGGUCGUAAAACUCUUUCGCCUGUGAUGAUAAUGACAGUAGCAGGUAAAGAAACCCCGGCUAACUCCGUGCCAGCAGCCGCGGUAAUACGGAGGGGGUUAGCGUUGUUCGGAAUUACUGGGCGUAAAGCGCACGUAGGCGGAUUAGAAAGUUAGAGGUGAAAUCCCGGGGCUCAACCCCGGAACUGCCUUUAAAACUACUAGUCUAGAGUUCGAGAGAGGUGAGUGGAAUUCCGAGUGUAGAGGUGAAAUUCGUAGAUAUUCGGAGGAACACCAGUGGCGAAGGCGGCUCACUGGCUCGAUACUGACGCUGAGGUGCGAAAGUGUGGGGAGCAAACAGGAUUAGAUACCCUGGUAGUCCACACCGUAAACGAUGAAUGCCAGUCGUCGGAUAGUAUACUAUUCGGUGACACACCUAACGGAUUAAGCAUUCCGCCUGGGGAGUACGGU
rnacentral:rRNA from 1 species